rnacentral:misc_RNA from 1 species
GAUGAAGAACGUAGCGAAAUGCGAUAAGUAAUGUGAAUUGCAGAAUUCAGUGAAUCAUCGAAUCUUUGAACGCACAUUACGCCCGCCAGUAUUCUGGCGGGCAUGCCUGUUCGAGCGUCAUUUCAACCAUCAAGCCCCCGGCUUGUGUUGGGGACCUGCGGCUGCCGCAGCCCCUGAAAAGCAGUGGCGGGCUCGCUGUCACACCGAGCGUAGUAGCAUACAUCUCGCUCUGGGCGUGCUGCGGGUUCCGGCCGUUAAACCACCUUCAUAACCCAAGGUUGACCUCGGAUCAGGUAGGAAGACCCGCUGAACUUAAGCAUAUCAAUAAGCGGAGGA